UGUCAAAAAACAAACAGCAAUUCUCGAAAAAUUAGAAAAAUAUUAUCAAAACCUAUUUAUGACGAAAAUACACAAUGAAAACGACAAUUCUUUGGAUGAUUUUAGUUCAAACAUACAAGGACCUGUACUAAGUCCAACAGAAUCAAAUGCUUUAGAAGGUCAAAUAAACUAUCAUGAAGCAACUUUUACAUAACAUGAAAAAUAAUAAGAGUCCAGGAUCUUUUGAUUUCAGAGCAGAUUUUUAUAAAAAAAAAAUUUAAUAAAAUAGGAGUUUAAUAACGCAUAAUGAAUCAGGCAAAAUUUCCAUAACUCAAACACAGGGAAUAAUUACAUGUAUUCCUAAAGACAAUAAACCAAGAGAAUUUUUAAAAAAUUGAGACCCAUAACUCUUAAAUACAGUUUAUAAAAUUGCUUCUGGAGUCAUUGCAAAUAGAAUAAAAAAGUCACUUUGAACAAAUUAAUAAACAAGAUCAAGGGUAGAUAUAUUGGAGAAAAUUCAAGACAUAUAUAUGACAUUAUGCAUUAUACGGAAGAAAAAGAUAUCCCUGGUCUUCUUUUAAUUGACUUUGAAAAAGCUUAAAUUGAUUCUUUGUCCUGAUCAUUUGUUCAAAAAACGUCGUCUUUAUUUAAAGGGACUCCACUGAGGUUUAAAAGCCUAAAAACAUAACAUUUUAAUUUCUUACAUGAAUGAGCUGGGGAACUUUAAACAGAAAUAUAUGCAAAGAUAGUUAAGAAAUAAACUUUGAAAUAAAUUGAAAAUCGUAUUUUUGUGCUUUUCUUAGCCCAAUGUGAGUGAAAAGCAUUUAAAUGCUUUUCAUUUUUGGUCACUUUUUUACGAUUUGAAUAAAUAUUCUGGAAAAACAAAGUGCCUGAAUGAUCUGAACUUUGGCACAAAGAUUAGUGGUCUAAACCUACAUCAAAUGGUACAUUUAUCUGGAAAAAAUAUUUUCAGUCCCAUCAUGUGAAAAACCUCAGUGGAGUCUGGAAUUUCUAUUAAACGAUGUUUUAAUAUUUUUUAUAAAGACACACAGUCUGCUGUAAGCCAAUGAGGAUUCCUGUCAAAUUUUGUAACAAUAGGUAGACAGAGAGACCCGCUUUCUUGUUACAUCUUUAUUAUGCUCCCCGAAAAAUUUCGGGGGAGCAUAUAGUCGGCGCCUUGUCCGUCUGUCUGUCAGUUAUCUUGUCCGGAGUAUAACUUGAAAACCCUUGGAGAUAAUUUGUUUAAACUUCAUACAGUGGUAGAGGGCAUUGAGGGGAAGUGCAGUGUCAAAGAACCAUAACUUUAUUUUGCCCGGUUUUUGAAUUAUCUCCCCUGAUAGAAAAAUCUUGUCCGGGACGUAACUCUAAAACUAUAAGAGAUAUCAACAUGAAACUUUGUAGGUGAAUAGAUCUCAAUGGGUAGAUGUGCAGUGCAAAAGAACCAUAACUCUGUUAAGCCUCAUUUUUGAAUUAUCUCCCCUUUUAGAAAAAUCUUGUCCAGGACAUAGCUGUAAAACUAUAAGAGAUAUCAACAUGAAUCUUUGAUUACUGAAUUUUCUCAGAUUUGUGCAUAAGAACAAUAACUCUUUUUGUCCUAAUUUUGGAGUUAUUGCCCAUUUGUUAAUUUUAACACUUUGAACUUUGUCCGGAACAUAACUCUAAAACUAUAAGAGAUAUCUAGAUGAAACAUUGUAGGUUGAUAGAUCUCAUUGAGUAGAGGUGCAGUGCAAAAGAACCAUAACUCUGUUAAGCCUCAUUUUUGAAUUAUCUCCCCUUUUAGAAAAAUCUUGUCCAGGACAUAGCUGUAAAACUAUAAGAGAUAUCAACAUGAAUCUUUGUAGGUAGAUAUAUCUCAAUGGGUAGAUGUGCAGUGCACAAGAAUCAUAACUCUGCCUUGCCUAAUUCUGGAGUUAUUGCCCUUUGUUUAUUUUUACUUUUUGAAGUUGUCCGGGACAUAACUCAUAAGAGAUACCAUCAAGAAACUUUGUAGGUUGAUAGAUCACAUUGAUUAGAAGUGCAGUGCAAAGAACAGUUACUCUGCCUUGCCUAAUUUUGGAAUUAUUGCACUUUGAACUUUUUCCAGGAACAUAACUCUGAAACUACAAGAGGUGUACUUUCCUGUGUCCAAAACCUAUUUCUAUAUACUUGUUAGCAUUCCUGUUGCUGUCGGCCAAAAAUACAUUACAUUUGACACUAACCUUUAAAUGACAUUAAAAAUUUUUAUAAACCUGUUGCUUGUUUUUAAAAAGAAAAAUACUUAUAAGAUCUAUAAAAAAUUCAAUACAUGUAUUUCUGGUAAAACACAUAAGUUAUGUAAAAAUAUCAGACUAAAACGCAGAAGUUACUUGAAUUUUACAAUAGCAAUUGUGCUAGAUUAUUGCUUAGCAAAUUGUUCUGAAUCACCGUAGUUGUUAAAGCCAAAAAUUAAAUUAAAACAAUGAGUAGAAGUUAUUGAAAAAGUGGGUUUUUAGUUUAUGUUUAAACACAUCUAGAGACUGAGACUGUCUAAUAUCUAUUGGUAAUUGGUUCCAUAAUUUCGGUCCCGCCGUACCAAAACUUCUGUCACUGAAUGUUUUUCUUUUAUUAAAAGGCACUUCGUAAACACUGUCUACUAAAUCAGCUGAUCUGAGCCCUUGUCGCUUUGGAACCAGUGCCAGCUUAAAAGUUCAGCCAGGUAAAGCGGUGCGCUGCCUACAGAACAUUGCCGGAAACAAUGGUAGAUCUCCAGGAUGAGGAAAUAGUGAAAGAGAUUAUAGAGACUAUGGAGGUGUUGGAACAGACGAAGAAAACUGAGCUUCCCGGGCCGCACCCACCUGCUUGCAGGAAAAAUGAAAUUUAUACAGAUCCCAAUGUGUUUGAUGAGCUUGAUGAUAAAGUUAUUCAGAGAAAUGAUCACCAUAUUGAGACGACGUGUCAUGCGCAACAUUUGGGUCGCUACCUUGAAGGUCAAGGUCACAGCAUGACCUUGCAGCAAAAUCAUGUCCGGCCCAUAACUUCAUUACUUGAAGUUGGAUUUAACAACUAUUUCACAGAGAUGAUCACCAUAUUAAAUUGACUUGUUGCAUGCAACAUUUGGGUC